rnacentral:rRNA from 1 species
UACAGGGGGGGCAAGCGUUGUUCGGAAUUACUGGGCGUAAAGGGUCUGUAGGUGGCCAACUAAGUCAGACGUGAAAUCCCUCAGCUUAACUGGGGAACUGCGUCUGAUACUGGAUGGCUCGAGUGUGGGGGAGGAAUGCGGAAUUCCAGGUGUAGCGGUGAAAUGCGUAGAUAUCUGGAGGAACACCGGUGGCGAAGGCGGCAUUCUGGACCACAACUGACACUGAGAGACGAAAGCCAGGGGAGCAAACGGG